AAGCAACACUCUGUGGCAGAUGAUCAAAACCGUCUGACACAAUCUGAGCUUGUUACAGCAACAAGGUUUAACUUAUUCCGAUGCUCUCUUCUAGGGGACAAGCCGUUAUACAGACUUAGAUGGU